rnacentral:rRNA from 1 species
GAGGAAUAUUGGUCAAUGGGCGAGAGCCUGAACCAGCCAAGUAGCGUGAAGGAUGACUGCCCUAUGGGUUGUAAACUUCUUUUAUAAAGGAAUAAAGUCGGGUAUGUAUGCCCGUUUGCAU